rnacentral:rRNA from 1 species
UGGGGGAUAGCUCGGCGAAAGCCGGAUUAAUACCGCAUACGCUCUACGGAGGAAAGGGGGGGAUCUUAGGACCUCCCGCUACAGGGGCGGCCGAUGGCAGAUUAGCUAGUUGGUGGGGUAAAGGCCUACCAAGGCGACGAUCUGUAGCUGGUCUGAGAGGACGACCAGCCACACUGGGACUGAGACACGGCCCAGACUCCUAUGGGAGGCAGCAGUGGGGAAUUUUGGACAAUGGGCGAAAGCCUGAUCCAGCAAUGCCGCGUGUGUGAAGAAGGCCUUCGGGUUGUAAAGCACUUUUGUCCGGAAAGAAAACGUCGUGGUUAAUACCCGUGGCGGAUGACGGUACCGGAAGAAUAAGCACCGGCUAACUACGUGCCAGCAGCCGCGGUAAUACGUAGGGUGCAAGCGUUAAUCGGAAUUACUGGGCGUAAAGCGUGCGCAGGCGGUUCGCUAAGACAGAUGUGAAAUCCCCGGGCUUAACCUGGGAACUGCAUUUGUGACUGGCGGGCUAGAGUAUGGCAGAGGGGGGUAGAAUUCCACGUGUAGCAGUGAAAUGCGUAGAGAUGUGGAGGUAUACCGAUGGCGAAGGCAGCCCCCUGGGCCAAUACUGACGCUCAUGCACGAAAGCGUGGGGAGCAAACAGGAUUAGA